rnacentral:rRNA from 1 species
UACGAAGGGGGCUAGCGUUGCUCGGAAUGACUGGGCGUAAAGGGUGCGUAGGUGGUUUAAUAAGUUAUCUGUGAAAUACCUGGGCUUAACCUGGGCAGGUCAGAUAAGACUGUUAGACUAGAGUAUGGGAGAGGGUAGAGGAAUUUCCGGUGUAGCGGUGAAAUGCGUAGAGAUCGGAAGGAACACCAGUGGCGAAGGCGUCUACCUGGCCUAAUACUGACACUGAGGCACGAAAGCGUGGGGAGCAAACAGG